rnacentral:rRNA from 1 species
UACGUAGGGUGCGAGCGUUGCCCGGAUUUAUUGGGCGUAAAGGGCGCGUAGGCGGCCACGCACGUCCGUUGUGAAAUCGCCCGGCUCAACUGGGCGGGGUCGGCGGAUACGGCGUGGCUGGAGCAAGCUAGGGGGCAAUGGAAUUCCCGGUGUAGUGGUGGAAUGCGUAGAUAUCGGGAGGAACACCAGUGGCGAAGGCGGUUGCCUGGAGCUUUGCUGACGCUGAGGCGCGAAAGCCAGGGGAGCGAACGGG